rnacentral:rRNA from 2 species
CUGAGACACGGCCCAGACUCCUACGGGAGGCAGCAGUGGGGAAUAUUGCACAAUGGGCGAAAGCCUGAUGCAGCGACGCCGCGUGAGGGAUGACGGCCUUCGGGUUGUAAACCUCUUUCAGCAGGGAAGAAGCGAAAGUGACGGUACCUGCAGAAGAAGCGCCGGCUAACUACGUGCCAGCAGCCGCGGUAAUACGUAGGGCGCAAGCGUUGUCCGGAAUUAUUGGGCGUAAAGAGCUCGUAGGCGGCUUGUCACGUCGAUUGUGAAAGCCCGAGGCUUAACCUCGGGUCUGCAGUCGAUACGGGCUAGCUAGAGUGUGGUAGGGGAGAUCGGAAUUCCUGGUGUAGCGGUGAAAUGCGCAGAUAUCAGGAGGAACACCGGUGGCGAAGGCGGAUCUCUGGGCCAUUACUGACGCUGAGGAGCGAAAGCGUGGGGAGCGAACAGGAUUAGAUACCCUGGUAGUCCACGCCGUAAACGGUGGGAACUAGGUGUUGGCGACAUUCCACGUCGUCGGUGCCGCAGCUAACGCAUUAAGUUCCCCGCCUGGGGAGUACGGCCGCAAGGCUAAAACUCAAAGGAAUUGACGGGGGCCCGCACAAGCGGCGGAGCAUGUGGCUUAAUUCGACGCAACGCGAAGAACCUUACCAAGGCUUGACAUACACCGGAAACGUCCAGAGAUGGGCGCCCCCUUGUGGUCGGUGUACAGGUGGUGCAUGGCUGUCGUCAGCUCGUGUCGUGAGAUGUUGGGUUAAGUCCCGCAACGAGCGCAACCCUUGUUCUGUGUUGCCAGCAUGCCCUUCGGGGUGAUGGGGACUCACAGGAGACCGCCGGGGUCAACUCGGAGGAAGGUGGGGACGACGUCAAGUCAUCAUGCCCCUUAUGUCUUGGGCUGCACACGUGCUACAAUGGCCGGUACAAUGAGCUGCGAUACCGUGAGGUGGAGCGAAUCUCAAAAAGCCGGUCUCAGUUCGGAUUGGGGUCUGCAACUCGACCCCAUGAAGUCGGAGUCGCUAGUAAUCGCAGAUCAGCAUUGCUGCGGUGAAUACGUUCCCGGGCCUUGUACACACCGCCCGUCACGUCACGAAAGUCGGUAACACC